rnacentral:rRNA from 1 species
UCCGUAGGGACCGAGCGUUGUCCGGAAUCAUUGGGCGUAAAGAGCGUGUAGGCGGCCUGUUAAGUCUUGCGUGAAAUCUCGGGGCUCAACCCCGAGCGGUCGUGAGAAACUGGCAGGCUAGAGUGCGGGAGAGGAGAGUGGAAUUCCUGGUGUAGCGGUGAAAUGCGCAGAUAUCAGGAGGAACACCCAUAGCGAAGGCAGCUUGCUGGGACGUUACUGACGCUAAGGCGCGAAAGCGUGGGGAGCGAACAGG